rnacentral:rRNA from 1 species
ACCAACAGGGAUUGCCUUAGUAGCGGCGAGUGAAGCGGCAAAAGCUCAAAUUUGAAAUCUGGCGCCUUCGGUGUCCGAGUUGUAAUUUGAAGAUUGUAACCUUGGGGUUGGCUCUUGUCUAUGUUUCUUGGAACAGGACGUCACAGAGGGUGAGAAUCCCGUGCGAUGAGAUGCCCAAUUCUAUGUAAGGUGCUUUCGAAGAGUCGAGUUGUUUGGGAAUGCAGCUCUAAGUGGGUGGUAAAUUCCAUCUAAAGCUAAAUAUUGGCGAGAGACCGAUAGCGAACAAGUACAGUGAUGGAAAGAUGA